GGUUUGAUUAUGGCUCAGAUUGAACGCUGGCGGGAUGCUUUACACAUGCAAGUCGAACGGCAGCACGGACUUAGAUCUGGUGGCGAGUGGCGAACGGGUGAGUAAUGUAUCGGAACGUGCCUAGUAGCGGGGGAUAACUGCAGCGUAGCUAAUACCACAUACGCCCUUCCGAGGAAAGCGGGGGACCUUCGGGCCUCGCACUAUUAAAACGGCCGAUAUCGGAUUAGCUAGUUGGUGGGGUAACGGCUCACCGAAGCUGACGAUCACGUAGCUGGUUUGGGACGUUAACCACACGCAGGACUGAGACACGGCCCGAACUCCACCACAGGAGGCAACGGUGCAAUUUUGGACAAUGGGGGAAACCUGAUCCAGCCAUCCCGCGUGUGCGAUGAAGGCCUUCGGGUUAUAAAGCCCCUUUUGGCAAGGAAAGAAACGGCACGGGAUGACCACACGGUGGCUGACUGACAGAAUAAGCACCGGCUAACUACGUGCGACAGCCGCGGUAAUACGUAGGGGUGCAAGCGUUAAUCGGAAUUACUGGGCGUAAGCGUGCUGGGCGGUUCAGAAGAAAAUCGUGAAAUCCCAAGCAACUUUGGAACUGCAUUUUUAACUACCGAGCUAGAGUGUCUCAGAGGGAGGUGGAAUUCCGCGUGUAGCAGUGAAAUGCGUAGAUAUGCGGAGGAACACCGAUGGCGAAGGCGGCCUCCUGGGAUAACACUAAAGCGCUCAUGCAGCGUGAACAAACGGAUUCGAAUACAGUAGUCCACCUAAACGUGUCGCUAUUUAUUAGGCCUUCCAGACUUAGUAUACCAGCUAACGCGUGAGAUUGACCGCCUGGGAGUACGGUCGCAAGAUUAAAACUCAAAGGAAUUGACGGGGACCCGCACAAGCAGUGGAUGAUGUGGAUUAAUUCGAUGCAACACAAUAUACCUACCCUUGACAUGUCUGGAAUCCGAGAUUUAAGUGCUCGCAAAGAGAACAGGAACACAGGUGCUGCAUGGCUGUCGGUAGCUCGUGUCGUGAGAUAUUUGGUUAGUCCGCAACGAGCGCAACCAUAUUAUUGGUUAUUUGAAAAGGGCCUCUAAUGAGACUGCCGGUGACAAACCGGAGGAAGGUGAGGAUGACAUCAAGUCCUCCAUGGCUAUAUGGGUAGGCUUACGUCUGUCGGUGGGACCAGAGGUCGCCAACCCGCGAAGGAUAAUCCAAAGCCGUCAUGAAGUCCGGAUCGCGGUGUAUAACUCGACUACGUGAAGUGGAAUCGCUAGUAAUCGCGGAUCAGCAUGUCGCGGUGAAUACGUUCCCGGGUCUUAUACACACCGCCCGUCACACCAUGGGAGUGGGUUUUACCACCAGAAGUAGUUCGCUAACCGUAAGGGCGAUUACCACAGUAGGAUUCAUGACUGGGGUGAAGUCGUAACAAAUUUAG
rnacentral:rRNA from 1 species